CCUGCAACUCCCAUAUAAGAAAAUAAAAGAGAGAGAAUGUUUUUGUCUUCAUUGUAUCUCCUUCUUUUCAUUUAGAUGGAACAACCAUACAAAAUCACAAUGAAAUUGGACAGAGAAGAAUAAUGGCUCUUCCACUUCCUCCUCAACCUCUCCCUUUCUUUCCUCUCAAAUCUCAUCUUCUUUCUGUUUUUUAUUUUUUAUUGGUUGAUGAUUGAUGAUAUAGAUCUAGAUAUCAGAUUGUUGAUCCUGGUUUUUUUUCCUGAGCUUGCAAACAAUCUUUGUUAAUAGUUAUGUUGUACCCGCAUACACCGACCCGCGUAACCCGUAACCCGUGUUACCCGAACCCGUCUAAACCGAAACAGAAAAAUGGGCAGCGAGGGGUCUGCAUAUGUCAACCGCGGGUUGGGCUGGGUGGGUGCUUUGGACCCGAACCCGCCCGAUGUCCACCCCUACUCUUGAGUCUUAUCUAAUAUAUCAAUCAUUUCAACAUUAUUUUUGUAGCCUCUAAUUUUAGUGUCUGCUGUCUAGUGAUGUUAGGUUUAAUAUAUAUACUACAGAUACAAUAGCCUCGUGAGAUGUUAGUGUGUUGUGGUCUAAACUUGUUUUUACUUAUACUCUCUACUCUUAUAUAAAGUAUUUGGUCCAAUUGAUCUACUUUUCUACUUAUAUUCAAAGCCAGAGUGAGUACUACUUCGUAUUGCACUUCCUUUUUUUAAAAAUCGCCAAUGUAAUUUUUGAAAUUGUAAGCAGUUAGAAAAAUUAAUUUAAAUUUUCAUUUGAAGAGAUACAUUUGAAG
rnacentral:lncRNA from 1 species